rnacentral:rRNA from 1 species
GAUGAACGCUGGCGGCGUGCCUAAUACAUGCAAGUCGAGCGAACAGACGAGGAGCUUGCUCCUCUGACGUUAGCGGCGGACGGGUGAGUAACACGUGGAUAACCUACCUAUAAGACUGGGAUAACUUCGGGAAACCGGAGCUAAUACCGGAUAAUAUAUUGAACCGCAUGGUUCAAUAGUGAAAGACGGUUUUGCUGUCACUUAUAGAUGGAUCCGCGCCGCAUUAGCUAGUUGGUAAGGUAACGGCUUACCAAGGCGACGAUGCGUAGCCGACCUGAGAGGGUGAUCGGCCACACUGGAACUUAGACACGAACCAGACUCCUACGGGAGGCAGCAGUAGGGAAUCUUCCGCAAUGGGCGAAAGCCUGACGGAGCAACGCCGCGUGAGUGAUGAAGGUCUUCCGAUCGUAAAACUCUGUUAUUAGGGAAGAACAAAUGUGUAAGUAACUAUUCACGUCUUGACGGUACCUAAUCAGAAAGCCACGGCUAACUACGUG